GGGCUCAAUUUCCUUGGAACAGGAGGUCAUGGAGGGUGAGAACCCCGUAUGUGGCUUGGGUGCCCUGGCUAAAAGUGACGUAUCCUCUAAGAGUCGGGUUGUUUGGGAAUGCAGCUCAAAAUGGGUGGUAAAUUUCAUCUAAAGCUAAAUACUGGUGAGAGACCGAUAGCAAACAAGUAGAGUGAUCGAAAGAUGAAAAGUACUUUGAAAAGAGAGUGAAACAGUACGUGAAAUUGUUGAAAGGGAAGCGUUUGGCAUCAGCCCAUGGCGGCGGUCGAACAUCUGGGCUUCUGCCCAGUGCAUUCGGCAGUCGCCGGGCCAGCGUCGGUUCCACCUGCUGGAGAAAGGCCUUGGGGAAGUGGCACUCCCUUGUGGAGUGUGUUAUAACCCAUGGCGUCAUGCGGCUUGGUGGGACCGAGGUCCGCGGUUUUGUCCUAGGACGCUGGCGUAAUGGUUCCAAGCGACCCGUCUUGAAACACGGACCAAGGAGUCUAACAUCUAUGCGAGUGUUUGGGUGUC
rnacentral:rRNA from 1 species